rnacentral:rRNA from 1 species
GAGGAAAGAGGGGGGCGUGCUUAACACAUGCAAGUCGAACGGAAAGGCCUCUUUCGGGGGGUACUCGAGUGGCGAACGGGUGAGUAACACGUGAGUAACCUGCCCUUGACUUUGGGAUAACUUCAGGAAACUGGGGCUAAUACCGGAUAGGAGCUCCUGCUGCAUGGUGGGGGUUGGAAAGUUUCGGCGGUUGGGGAUGGACUCGCGGCUUAUCAGCUUGUUGGUGGGGUAGUGGCUUACCAAGGCUUUGACGGGUAGCCGGCCUGAGAGGGUGACCGGCCACAUUGGGACUGAGAUACGGCCCAGACUCCUACGGGAGGCAGCAGUGGGGAAUAUUGCACAAUGGGUGGAAGCCUGAUGCAGCAACGCCGUGUGCGGGAUGACGGCCUUCGGGUUGUAAACCGCUUUCGCUCAUGACGAAGCUUUGUGUGACGGUAGUGGGUAAAGAAGCACCGGCUAACUACGU